UUUAGAGUUAAGUCACUGUUUCCUUUGUGUGAGAGCAGGUUGCAGCAGGCUGCCCUGCACCUUGCAGGCUCCAGAUCCCUGAGCAGGCUGCAGGGAAGCUGUUUUGAAAAGUGAAGAGCUGUGAGAAUUUAUUCCACUUUCAAAAAGUCUGGCUUGGAGCAACCCCACCAAACUACAUUUUGGAGUAUCUGAACAUACAGAUGACAGCUGGUCUUGUGCUUACCUCUGUUUUGCUUAACCAAUCUCUGUGUUUUGUUACAGAUCGCACUUUCCACUGGACGCGGACGGAGGGGCUCAUCUCACUCCUAUUAGGCAUUUAGCUUUCUUCAAGAGAUGGAAAGAACGGAAACAUCCUUUAUAGAAAUAAAAAUAAAAGCAAGGAUUCUCCCUUAAACACUUGGAUCUGCAACUUGAAGCUAUAUGGAAAAAUCUCAGCUGUCACGUGGCCCCUGAUUAAAUUACAGUGCAACCAUAAUGCUUCUUCCUUCCUGCACCCACAGCGAGCAUGUCAUAAACGUGCCUGAGGUAUGGAGAAAGUCUGUCAGCUCGAACGUCUGUUGUGGCACGACAAGUGAAAGCACCGGACUUUCUGUGUUGAAGACAGAGCAGCUUAGAGAUGGAGUUUCUCUGGGAAAAGUCCCUAGAGGUGCCAAUCACAGCAUGAGAAAAAGCCUGGCCUGGAAGAAGCUGCAGUAA
rnacentral:lncRNA from 1 species